rnacentral:rRNA from 1 species
CUAGCGUUGCUCGGAAUCACUGGGCGUAAAGCGCACGUAGGCGGACUCUUAAGUCGGUGGUGAAAUCCUGGAGCUCAACUCCAGAACUGCCUUCGAUACUGAGAGUCUCGAGUCCGGGAGAGGUGAGUGGAACUGCGAGUGUAGAGGUGAAAUUCGUAGAUAUUCGCAAGAACACCAGUGGCGAAGGCGGCUCACUGGCCCGGUACUGACGCUGAGGUGCGAAAGCGUGGGGAGCAAACAGG